CUGGUUCGGCGCACUUGGCCCGUCUCGGUUUACGGGAUUGCGUGCCGGUGUGCGCCAUCCAUCCUUCGAGAGAACACUCCUACCCUUCACUGGGCCGGCGGGUGACCUUUCUCGAUCUUUUACUUUGAAAAAAUUAGAGUGUUUAAAGCAGGCUUGCGCUAUGAAUACAUUAGCAUGGAAUAAUAAUUUAGGACUUUGGUCUUAUUUUGUUGGUUUCUAGGACUAAAGUAAUGAUUGAUAGGGACAGUUGGGGGUGCUAGUAUUCAGCGGCCAGAGGUGAAAUUCUUGGAUUCGCUGAAGACUAACUUAUGCGAAAGCAUUC
rnacentral:rRNA from 1 species